rfam:Actinoalloteichus sp. GBA129-24, complete genome.
GAACCUCGUGCGGGAGAGUCCGCAUCACCCGGACGGGUGGUUCGGCGCCGAAGGAGCAACUCCUCCCCGGAACCUCUCAGGCAGCAGGGACCGCACGGGACAG